GACAUAGGUGGCGGACGUUAUCCGGAAUUAUUGGGCGUAAAGGAUGCGUAGAUGGUGUGAAAAGUUAUCAGUGGCAAAUCGGGGCUCAACCUCGUGGAAGCUGUUAAUACUAUCAUGCUUGAGUUCAGGAGAAGUUAACGGAACUCCAUGUGGAGCGGUAAAAUGUGACGAUAUAUGGAAGAACACCAAUAAGGCGAAGGCAGUUAACUAUUCUGUUACUGACAUUGAGGCAUGAAAGCGUGGGGAGCAAAACGG
rnacentral:rRNA from 1 species